rnacentral:misc_RNA from 1 species
CAUCCUCAACCCCUCUUGGUUUCUUGACCGAGAAGGCUUGCAAUCUGGAGGCUUUUGCUGGCCUUCCUUCGAAGCCAGCUCCUCUUAAACGAAUUAGUGGGGUUCACAUCGGUUUGAUCCUGGACGUGAUAAGAUGCCUCUACGUCUUGGGUUUUUCUCUGUCCCCCUGCUUCUAACUGCCUCAUAGGAGACUCUGUUCGGGACAUACCACCCUUCGUGGGUGGGAAGCCUGACCCACGAAA